AUUAUGGCUCAGGAUGAACGCUAGCUACAGGCUUAACACAUGCAAGUCGAGGGGCAGCAUGGAGUUGCUGCAAACUCUGAUGGCGACCGGCGCACGGGUGAGUAACGCGUAUCCAACCUUCCCUAUAGUAGAGGAUAGCCCGGCGAAAGUCGGAUUAAUACUCUAUGUUUUCCGUUGCAGACAUCUAAGAUGGAACAAAGGCUUGCCGCUAUAGGAUGGGGAUGCGUCUGAUUAGAUAGUAGGCGGGUAACGGCCCACCUAGUCGACGAUCAGUAGGGGUUCUGAGAGGAAGGUCCCCCACAUUGGAACUGAGACACGGUCCAAACUCCUACGGGAGGCAGCAGUGAGGAAUAUUGGUCAAUGGGCGAGAGCCUGAACCAGCCAAGUAGCGUGCAAGGAUGACGGCCCUAUGGGUUGUAAACUGCUUUUAUAUGGGGAUAAAGUCACCCACGUGUGGGUGUUUGUAGGUACCAUAUGAAUAAGGACCGGCUAAUUCCGUGCCAGCAGCUGC
rnacentral:rRNA from 1 species